rnacentral:rRNA from 1 species
GAUGAACGCUAGCGGCAGGCCUAAUACAUGCAAGUCGAACGGUCCGCUUCGGCGGAUAGUGGCGCACGGGUGCGUAACACGUAUGCAACCUACCUUACAUUGGGGGAUAGCCUUUCGAAAGGGAGAUUAAUACCGCAUAAGACAGUAGCUGGGCAUCCAGUAGCUGUUAAAGAUUUAUCGAUGUAAGCUGGGCAUGCGUCCAAUUAGUUAGUUGGUGAGGUAACGGCUCACCAAGACGAUGAUUGGUAGGGGAACUGAGAGGUCAAUCCCCCACACUGGCACUGAGAUACGGGCCAGACUCCUACGGGAGGCAGCAGUAGGGAAUAUUGGGCAAUGGACGCAAGUCUGACCCAGCCAUGCCGCGUGCAGGAAGAAGGCGUUCUGCGUUGUAAACUGCUUUUAUAUAGGAAGAAACGACCCUUGCGAGGGGCAUUGACGGUAUUAUAUGAAUAAGCACCGGCUAACUCCGUGCCAGCAGCCGCCGUAACAC